rnacentral:rRNA from 1 species
AUGUCGGAGCCAUGGCGCCUCGUUGGACCGAUCACGGCCACGGCGGCGGCGAGGUGGAAGGAGCUCCACGGCGAGCGGUCGUGGGACGGGCUGCUGCGGCCGCUGGACCUGGACCUCCGGCGCACGCUGAUCUGGUACGGCGAGAUGGCGCAGGCCACGUACGACGCGUUCAACUACGAGAAGCACUCGCCGCACGCCGGCCUCUCACGCUUCGGCAGGAAGCGCUUCUUCGAGCGCGUGAUGCUGCCGGGCCACGCCGCCGCGUACCGGAUCACCAGGUUCCUGUACGCCACGUCCUCCGCCCCCGCCGCGCCGGCCGCCGCGUUCGUCAGGAGCCGCCACCCGCGGCGCCGGUGCAAGGAGUCCAACUGGAUCGGGUACGCCGCGGUGGCCACGGACGCGGGGAUAGCCGCGCUAGGGCGCCGGGACGUGGUCGUCGCGUGGCGCGGCACCAUCCAGGCGCUGGAGUGGAUCAACGACCUCGAGUUCGCCAUGGUGCAUCCCAAGGGCAUCCUCGGCGACGCCACCGGCGCCGACGCCAUGGUGCACCGUGGCUGGUUCUCCAUCUACACCUCCACCGACCCGGCCUCCACCCACAACAACGACAGCGCCAGAAAGCAGGUGUUGGCUGAGGUGAGGAAGCUGGUGGACACGUACAAGGACGAGGAGGUGAGCAUCACGGUGACGGGGCACAGCCUCGGGGCGGCGCUGGCCACGCUGAGCGCGUUCGACAUCGCCGAGAACGGCUACAACUGCACGCCCGCGGCGGCGUUCCCGGUCACGGCGUUUGCGUUCGCCAGCCCGCGCGUGGGCGGCGCCGGCUUCAAGAGGCGGUUCAACACCGCGACGGCCGCCGGCCUCCGUGUCCUGCGCGUUUGCAACGCCCGGGACAUCGUGCCCAGGUACCCGGGGCUGCCGUACCACGACGUGGGCGCCGAGCUGGCCAUCGACACCAGCGCGUCGCCGUACCUGAAGGCGCCCGGCGACGAGCACGUGUGGCACAACCUGGAGUGCUACCUGCACGGGGUGGCGGGCGCAGCGACGGCCUCCGGCGAGGGGUUCGAGCAUGUGGUGGAGCGGGACUUGGCGCUGGUGAACAAGUGGUACGACGCGCUGAAGGAGGAGCACGGGGUGCCGGCGGCGUGGUGGGUGCCGUGGAACAGGGGCAUGGUGAAGGGGGAGGACGGGCGCUGGAGGCUGGUGGACUGCGAGGACGAGGACGACAGGGAGGACGCCGUCGUGCCGCCGGUGAGCAAGUGA